GAACCCUGGCCAUGGUGAUGAGAGCAUGGAAUCUUAACCACUAGACCAUCAGGGCUGGCUGCUGGAUCCACACUGAACAUUUAACGCAGAGUUUCCUAAAAUGUGCUCAUCAUUGGUGACAUGCAAGAUGAACUGAGUGUUAAGCAAACGGCUGAAAUUUUCAUCAGAUUGGCCUUGAGCAACAUCUGUGGCAAUCUUCUUCUAUUUGUAUGUGGCCUGUCUUGAUGAGCAAUGUGUUAUGUCGGCCCUGGGAUCCAAACCUGCGAACCCCUGCCACCAAAGGGGAGCUCACAAAGGUGGGCCGGAGGAGGACAGCACAGUGCCAGACUUCCGAUCAACAGGCACAGGACCUGGGAGCAAACCAGUCACAGCGUUCCUGAUGUAACUAGGACGACUUGCUUUGGGGAAAUCUGUUUCAUUUUUGUCACCUAUGGUAGCAGCCCCACUUCAGUCUUCUGGCCUAGACUUCCUUUGAUUAAAAGUCCUCAUUCUCCCCCCUAUAGGGUGCCUCAGGGUAGGCCAAGGCCAUCUGGGGACCAGAGCCAGCCUCCUUUGUGCUGGGGCCAGAGGGGGAUCAGCCCCUGGCGGUUUUCUCCGCCUCACCAUCAGGUGCUGACAGCUGAGCUAUUCCUCGCACCCUUGGGGUAAAGAACAGCCGCAAACUAGGGCCGAGUGCAGAGCCUGACAAUUCUUCCCAAGGCUCCGGGGAGCAGCACCCUGGAGGGGCUGUUCGUGCGUUACAUAAGCUGUGUGUCAGCGGUCCUUACCGAUGCGCAGAGCCGCGUGCCUCUCGGAAUUGCGCAACUCUUACGCAGAAGCACUUGUUCAGUGUUGCAACAUGACUCCACAUCUUUAUCAAAAAUGUGAAACAUCCGCCCAGCACACACUUAGAAAACACUAAAGCUCUUCUCCACCAGGUGGUUAAGGCUGCUUGAUCUGGCUGACAGGAGAGAAGCGGCCGCCGGGGGAGGCGGGGGGCCGGACUUACUGUAGCUCUUGGCCGGGGAAGCUGAACACCCAGUACCUUGUACCCCAUUCGCCUUGGGCAGCGUGGACCUCUGAUAAAAUGUACUUUUUUUGUGCUUGUUUUUCCUGGCAGUCUCAUUUUGGGUUAUAAAUGGCUCAUUAUUUCCAUCCCAUAGAUCCAUCCUUUCCUCUCUUGCAUUCUCUUCUUGCUUUCCGGAACGUGGGUAAAAUCAUCGCUGAUGAAGUCUGCAUGUUCUAACCUUGAGCAGAGGCCGAAUUUCCACAUCGCUCAUGCCACCUACAGCUGCUCCCACGUGGGAGAGGUUGGCUGGAAAGGCCCCCAACAGCAGGGCUGUAAUUCUAUUUACACUAAAAUACUCGGUGCCCUUAAAUGCCAGCAAGCGGCACGGACUUCCACUCACUCCAGCCCUGCAACCUUUUCAGAGGACUAUUGGGCAAUCAUCAGAGGUUAUAAAGUUGGAACAGCAUUCUCCCCGGAUAGGUCAUUUUCCCUGCAGAACAGCUUGGAGGCAAAUUUUAUUAAGUAUCAAGUAGCUGACCCAAAGCAGUAUAAAUAGCGAGAGAACAUAUGACAAACCCAGAAGGGACGGUGCUUAAACCCCGGGCUGAGUACGUGUAAUGUGUUUACUGUCGUCAGCACCUGCACGGAGAUAUUCACGCAGCAACCAUCCAGGAAAGGCGUUGAACCGUAGAAAUGCAGUUACUAGGAUUCAAUCUUAGAAAAAUAAUUUCAUCCUAACUUUUGAAAGCUUGCUGACCCCACCGUUAACCCAAGGAAGGUACCCAUGGACAGGUUGGAUGUCAUAAACGUCAUUCACAUGUAAGUGGUAGGAGCCAUGAGCAGUCACUGUCA